ACAGUUAAAAUAGUUGAGCAGUAAAGCAGACGGUGAUUGUAGUCUUUGUUUGCUCUGUGAGGUGCUUUAUAUAAACAGAAUUUCUAUCAGGUUAUGGGCCCAGAGAUUGCAUCCAAGCACACAGCAGCAGCAUAACAGCCUGAUCAUAGCCAGCUGCAGCAAGUAUUGCUGCCCAGCAUAUUGAUUUAAGGCAUUAUUGUCGGGAGUAACCAAGAUGCCUCUGUCCCCGGGAUUAUCGACCCAUCUAUGGCUCUGAUCGCAGGACUUAUACCAACAAGUGUGAUUUCUGCAAUGGUUAUGUCAUUAUUGUUUGGGGUAUCCAAAGUCCAUCUUCACUAAGGAAUAUCUAUCCCACAGUGGCUCUGAUGGCAGGACAUAUGCCACUAAGUGUCAUUUCUGCAAUGCAUAUGGAUUGGGGUCCACUUGAUGUACCAUUGCUCCCUCCCCAUUAAUAGAAUCUCUAUUAGAAGUAGUAAAUAGUCACCUAUGAGGAAUGGCUAAGUUGGGGAAGGAAGGACUACCCAGGAGCAGAGAGGACACCUGGUCCUGUGCCAUCCUGUCUUACAGAGGAAGGAGCUACCAUUUGGAAACUUAAUAACAAAUAAUCAUUUUGUCACAAUUUAUACUAAUUAUGCUGUCUGAGUCAUUAAAAAGAAGAAUGGAUUACUGUUAUAAAGUGAAUAACUUGUCACUCACUUUCUAACUUUACUCAAUUCUCCAAUGCCCCAAACAAGCAUUUGCCCUCUCAAGUUCCCAUCCCACUGUGUGUCCAACAACAAAACGUACAGCAAUGUUUUUUUUCUGCAAGACUUAUUUGUAAAUAUAAGAUUUACUCUGUAUAGCUUAAGAAGGAAGCAUUACUAUAGGUAGCCCUGUCCUUCUUCUUGAACAAACAAAUUAAUGUUUAAAUUGAAUCUUGUCCUUGUGAAUAUUUACUCAGAAAGGCAUGAUAUUCUAUCAUAGAUGGAUUUUGUAGGACUCCCAAGCAUAACAUUUUAUCUAUUUUAGAUGCCACAACAGAGAAGGUAUGCUUCAAGGAGCCCUCUAGAUGACCACGUUUAAUGGUGAAGCCUCAGAGUGCUCCCACUAUGCCUGUUCUAACUAGAUGGGGGGAGGAUUUGAGACAGGUAACUCUGUUGAAAUAAACACAUCAAUUUCAUUUUACAUAUUUUAGUAUUUAAUUUUAAAAUACACGAGAAAUUCAUUAAUAAUCACAUAUGUAUUUGUAUGUAUUACUAAUAUUAUAUGUUAGCAUAUGUAAGUAAUAGGAGGCAAGAAUUAAACAUUGGUUACUGAUAUCACAUAAAUCAGGAGAAUGUUUCUCAUAAUAGCAUAAGCACUUCUGCAUAUAGUAUAAUCCCCAAACCACUAACAUAUUGGAAUUAGAACCUUCCCCAACAUCUUCCUUGGAUGUGUUUAUCUACAACCAGGAACUCAUUCCCAUUCAGAUAUACUCAAAUGUGAAAUUCUAUCAUCUGCUAUUUGACAUGGGAAGCAAAUCACACACUUUGUUUCUAAAGGCAUAGCUUGAUUAUGAGCACAAGGGUUCAGUACAUCUUCUUUUCUUGAAAGCAGGCAGUGAUGGGGCGAAACAAUUCUGGCCCCAUCAUCAAAAAAUAGAGUUUCCCUGCUUUGCUUCCCCCCAAUCUACUACAAAUGAGGAAAAAACAGUGGCUUCUUCUGGCAUGAACCAUGUACUUGGUUGAGUCAAUGGGCAGUUCCUGGUUUGUAAUGGCAAUUAAGACCAGAAUUGCCCAUUCUAAUUGAUGUGGUCAUACGGUGAGACAUCAUGUAACUAUAGCACCUGGUAAUGGCAGUUCUGGCAGUCACAGUUGCUAUCAUUAAGUGAGGACCAAGAAGGAAUUCCAAAAAAGGAGUAAUAUAGUUCCCACAACCAAUUUCUACAAUCACCCCUAGUCUCCAUUUCACUAUCUAGUACCUACACAGAUAUUUUUUCUUCCUUCAAAGGCUAACUGCUCAAUUACCAACACAGCCAUUUCCUUUCCUUUUUUUCUUUUUUUGUAGCAGAGAAAUUUAAAAUAGGGGCAGAGCGGCCUCCUUAAAUGGUGGAAACUGCAUGGCACUGUACUAAAAGCAGCACCAUUUUUUAAAAUGAAGGCAAGGAAUUGUGGUGGCUCUGAAAUGGCACCUACUUCUCGGAUGAUAUUGCACAGCCUUCAGGCCUGGGAAAUAGGUUACCCAAGGGUCCACCAUUUUCUAUAUGUUCCUUCCUGUUUAACCUGGCACAGCAGGAUGGGCAUCCUCUCAGCUGGCAGGGACCAGGAGGCUUGCCUUUUCUCCCAUAGGGCUUGCCUUCUAGAAUAACCUCCUUCCUGAGAUGAGGAUGGAGUUGACUCUGCUGGCCUUCGGGAAGGCCUUGACGUCCUGACUACGUACCUGUGCCUGAGGUCCUCAAUCUGUGAAGAGCCGAUUUCCUGGUUAUGCUGACAAUAAUGGAUUGUAAUAAAUUUCUGCUGAUAUUUGUGGUUAAUUUCUUUUCUUAAAUGGGUCUUAAUUGUUCUUAUGAUUGUUUGCUGUCGAAAGUCACUGGUUUGAGGUGGGCAGUUAUACAAAAACAAUGAAAAAUGAAAUGAAAUAAGACAGAGAAUUGCUGGGAUAUUGUGAUUCUGGAUAAAGGAAAGAACAGGAAAAGGUCAUUGCAGGUGGUGCUUCUCUUUCCAUCACGUUCUCAAAAGCAGAGGAAGACUUGAUCCUCCAAAGAAUCACUAGAGAUGGUAGCUUCUGGCCAUAAAUAUAAAUUAAAUCUAGUGGCAUGUUGCCACUCACCUGAAUUAAGAAAGUUGACAAAGCCAUUCCUGAUACAGGAAUUUCUGGUAAUGAACUUAAAGUAAGCAGUUUAUCUUCUGUACAACAGCAUAAAUUG